rnacentral:lncRNA from 1 species
UUAGGAAUAGGAGGAGAACCUCGUCCUAACAUGAGCAAAGUCGAAGGCUCGGUUAUUUAAAGAUCGGAUGGGGGGAGAGGCCCUUACAAUGGCCCUUAUGUGCCCCCACAGCCAUGUUAGGAACAGAAGGAGAACCUCGUCCUAACAUGAGCAAAGUCGAAAGCUCGGUUAUUUAAGACCGGAUGAGGGGGAGAGGUCCUUACAACGGCCCUUAUGUGCCCCCACAGCCAUGUUAGGAACAGGAGGAGAAUCUCGUUCUAACAUGAGCAAAGUCGAAGGUCCGAUUAUUUAGAGAUCGGAUGGGGGGAGAGGCCCUUACAAUGGUCCUUACGUGCCCCUACAGUCUUGUCUCAACGAGGAAGGAGACCCUUGUCAAAAAUCUUCAGUCUCUUAGAGGAAACCCGACACUGGCAGGAGAAAAUCGACUUCCUCAAGGUAACGAGAAGUUCGGGCUCUCAAGCUCGAGCAUCGGGAGGAAGCGUCAAACUCAAGUGGCUUCGAAAAGACCUUCGAUCAUGAACAAAAAAGGGCAAAUCAAUACGGCGACGAUCAGGAACCUUCAAACAAUGUCAACAUCGAACAAGACAAAAGACGAAAGAAGCUCGAUAAACAACUCAAAGCAAGAAUGGACAAGGUAAUAAGAAAAUUUCUUCUCAUUUCAUUAGUAAAGCGUGCAUUACAAAGCCUUUGAAGGCCAAAAA